UGAUAUGUCAUCAUCUUCCUUU
rnacentral:miRNA from 1 species